UUCCACGCCGUAAACGAUGAUGGCUAACCGCCGGCGACACACUGUCGGUGGCCAAGCGAAAGCGAUAAGCCAUCCACCUGGGGAGUACGUCGGCAACGAUGAAACUCAAAGGAAUUGACGGGGGCCCGCACAAGCGGAGGAACAUGUGGUUUAAUUCGAUGAUACGCGAGGAACCUUACCCGGGCUCGAACGGCACCUGGAUCGCCCAGAGAUGGGCGAGUCUUCGGACAGGUGUCGAGGUGCUGCAUGGUUGUCGU
rnacentral:rRNA from 1 species